UACGUAGGGGGCAAGCGUUGUCCGGAUUCAUUGGGCGUAAAGAGCGUGUAGGCGGCCCCUUAAGUCCUGCGUGAAAUCCUGCGGCUCAACCGCAGACGGUCGUGGGAAACUGGAGGGCUAGAGUGCGGGAGAGGAGAGUGGAAUUCCCGGUGUAGAGGUGAAAUUCGUAGAUAUCAAGCGGAACACCGGUGGCGAAGGCGGCCUUCUGGACGAGGACUGACGCUGAGAACUCGAAAGCGUGGGGAGCAAACAGG
rnacentral:rRNA from 1 species